rnacentral:rRNA from 1 species
AGAUUGAACGCUGGCGGAAUGCUUUACACAUGCAAGUCGAACGGCAGCACGGGAGCUUGCUCCUGGUGGCGAGUGGCGAACGGGUGAGUAACAUAUCGGAACGUACCUAGUAAUGGGGGAUAACUAUCCGAAAGGAUGGCUAAUACCGCAUACGCCCUGAGGGGGAAAGCGGGGGAUCGUAAGACCUCGCGUUAUUAGAGCGGCCGAUAUCUGAUUAGCUAGUUGGUGGGGUAAAAGCCUACCAAGGCGACGAUCAGUAGCUGGUCUGAGGGGACGACCAGCCACACUGGAACUGAGACACGGUCCAGACUCCUAUGGGAGGCAGCAGUGGGGAAUUUUGGACAAUGGGCGCAAGCCUGAUCCAGCCAUUCCGCGUGAGUGAAGAAGGCCUUCGGGUUGUAAAGCUCUUUCGCAAGGGAAGAAACGAUGCAGUCGAAUAAACUGCGUUAAUGACGGUACCUUGAUAAGAAGCACCGGCUAACUACGUG